GGCGAGGUUGCAUAAGUGGUUUAAGGCAACUGAUUCAUAACCAGUAGUGGCGGAAACGCCACCGUGGGUUCAAAUCCCACCCUCGCCGCCA
rnacentral:tRNA from 1 species